rnacentral:rRNA from 1 species
AGUGAACGCUGGCGGUAGGCCUAACACAUGCAAGUCGAACGGCAGCACAGUAAGAGCUUGCUCUUACGGGUGGCGAGUGGCGGACGGGUGAGGAAUACAUCGGAAUCUACUUUUUCGUGGGGGAUAACGUAGGGAAACUUACGCUAAUACCGCAUACGACCUACGGGUGAAAGCAGGGGAUCUUCGGACCUUGCGCGAUUGAAUGAGCCGAUGUCGGAUUAGCUAGUUGGCGGGGUAAAGGCCCACCAGGGCGACGAUCCGUAGCUGGUCUGAGAGGAUGAUCAGCCACACUGGAACUGAGACACGGUCCAGACUCCUACGGGAGGCAGCAGUGGGGAAUAUUGGACAAUGGGCGCAAGCCUGAUCCAGCCAUACCGCGUGGGUGAAGAAGGCCUUCGGGUUGUAAAGCCCUUUUGUUGGGAAAGAAAAGCAGCAGGUUAAUACCCCGCUGUUCUGACGGUACCCAAAGAAUAAGCACCGGCGAACUUCGG